rnacentral:rRNA from 1 species
AAGACCUUGCGCUUUUGGAGCGGCCGAUGCCUGAUUAGCUAGUUGGUGGGGUAAUGGCCUACCAAAGCUUCGAUCAGUAGCUGGUCUGAGAGGACGGCCAGCCACACUGGGACUGAGACACGGCCCAGACUCCUACGGGAGGCAGCAGUGGGGAAUUUUGGACAAUGGGCGCAAGCCUGAUCCAGCCAUGCCGCGUGAGUGAAGAAGGCCUUCGGGUUGUAAAGCUCUUUCAGCCGGGAAGAAAAGGUUGCGAUUAAUAAUCGCAAUUUAUGACGGUACCGGAAGAAGAAGCACCGGCUAACUACGUGCCAGCAGCCGCGGUAAUACGUAGGGUGCGAGCGUUAAUCGGAAUUACUGGGCGUAAAGGGUGCGCAGGCGGUUUUGUAAGUCAGAUGUGAAMUCCCCGGGCUUAACCUGGGAACU